rnacentral:rRNA from 1 species
CCUUACGACCAGGGCUACACACGUGCUACAAUGGCAUAUACAAAGAGAAGCGACCUCGCGAGAGCAAGCGGACCUCAUAAAGUAUGUCGUAGUCCGGACUGGAGUCUGCAACUCGACUCCACGAAGUCGGAAUCGCUAGUAAUCGUGGAUCAGAAUGCCACGGUGAAUACGUUCCCGGGCCUUGUACACACCGCCCGUCACACCAUGGGAGUGGGUUGCAAAAGAAGUAGGUAGCUUAACCUUCGGGAGGGCGCUUACCACUUUGUGAUUCAUGACUGGGGUGAAGUCGUAACAAGGUAACCGUAGGGGAACCUGCGGUUGGAUCACCUCCUUACCUUAAAGAA